CCUGUGAGUCCAGUUGUCUGUCUUACUGCUCAAGAAGAUAGAAUGCAUCAGCAAGUGGCUGGAGAGGCGGGCUGUGGAAGAAGCAGAAAUACCUCUUGACUAGCUGGACAUGUUUCCUUGAGGGAUUUAGGAACUUCAUUCUGCAAUGAAUAAGAGUUCCUGCCACUCCACAUCCUCACCAGCAUUUGGUUUGUCAGCGUUCUGGAUUUUGGCCAUUCUAACAGAAUGAGAAAUCAGAGGACUUUGAAGCAUGAGAAAGAUUCAAGGCACCUUUUCUGGUUUGAAGAUGAAGAAAACCACAUGACAGGGAAUGAGGGGCCCUCUAGAAUUUGAGAGCUGACUGACAGCCAGCAAAGAUAUCAGGACGUCAGACCUACAAUUGCAAGGACUGCAUUCUGCCAAUGUCAGUGGAUUGUUCCGCGUUGCCUCCAAAUAAGAAACCUGCUGGCUGCAAUUUUGAUUUCUGCCUUAUGACACCUUAUGUAGAAAACCAAGUUGA